GAACGCGGCCCUCUGUAAUGGCGGAGCGUGGCGGGGACGGGGGCGAGAGUGAACGAUUCAACCCGGGGGAGCUCAGGAUGGCCCAACAGCAGGCCUUGAGGUUCCGAGGUCCGGCUCCCCCACCAAAUGCAGUGAUGCGAGGCCCACCACCUCUGAUGCGACCUCCUCCACCUUUUGGUAUGAUGCGAGGCCCUCCUCCACCACCACGGCCGCCCUUUGGACGUCCUCCUUUUGAUCCUAAUAUGCCGCCAAUGCCUCCUCCAGGAGGGAUACCUCCACCUAUGGGCCCUCCACACCUCCAGAGACCACCUUUCAUGCCUCCUCCCAUGAGUUCCAUGCCUCCUCCUCCGGGUAUGAUGUUUCCACCAGGAAUGCCUCCUGUGACUGCUCCUGGUACUCCAGCACUACCUCCUACGGAGGAGAUAUGGGUUGAAAAUAAAACUCCAGAUGGGAAGGUUUAUUAUUAUAAUGCUCGGACACGUGAAUCUGCAUGGACCAAGCCAGAUGGAGUUAAGGUUAUUCAGCAAUCAGAACUGACACCUAUGCUUGCAGCCCAGGCACAGGUUCAGGCUCAGGCCCAGGCGCAGGCUCAGGCCCAGGCGCAGGCUCAGGCCCAGGCACAAGCUCAGGCCCAGGCUCAGGCUCAGGCCCAGGCCCAGGCCCAGGCCCAGGCCCAGGCCCAAGCCCAAGCCCAGGCCCAGGCUCAGGCUCAGGCACAAGCUCAGGCCCAGGCCCAGGCUCAGGUCCAGGCCCAGGUCCAGGCACAAGUGCAAGCACAAGCAGUUGGAGCUUCCACCCCUACGACCAGUAGCCCAGCACCUGCAGUAUCCACUUCAACAUCAUCAUCCACCCCUUCCUCUACCACUUCUACCACAACAACUGCUACUUCAGUUGCGCAGACAGUAUCAACACCCACAACACAAGAUCAGACCCCAAGUUCUGCUGUUUCAGUUGCCACGCCUACAGUUAGUGUUUCAACUCCUGCUCCUACAGCCACACCUGUGCAAACCGUUCCCCAGCCGCACCCUCAGACGUUACCUCCUGCUGUUCCUCAUUCAGUACCUCAGCCAACAACAGCAAUACCUGCUUUUCCACCAGUAAUGGUACCUCCGUUUCGUGUUCCCCUUCCUGGCAUGCCAAUUCCACUUCCAGGUGUAUUGCCAGGAAUGGCCCCUCCUAUCGUACCCAUGAUACAUCCCCAGGUUGCUAUUGCAGCUUCACCUGCUACCUUAGCUGGAGCAACAGCAGUUUCUGAAUGGACUGAAUAUAAAACAGCAGAUGGGAAGACAUAUUAUUAUAAUAAUAGAACAUUAGAAUCAACCUGGGAAAAACCCCAAGAACUAAAGGAAAAAGAAAAGUUAGAAGAGAAGAUUAAAGAGCCAAUUAAAGAACCCUCUGAAGAGCCUCUGCCAAUGGAGACGGAGGAGGAGGAUCCUAAAGAAGAGCCUAUAAAGGAGAUAAAGGAGGAGCCCAAAGAAGAGGAGAUGACUGAAGAAGAAAAGGCUGCCCAGAAGGCAAAGCCAGUUGCUACUGCUCCUAUUCCUGGUACUCCAUGGUGUGUCGUUUGGACUGGUGAUGAGCGGGUCUUCUUUUAUAAUCCCACCACUCGUCUUUCUAUGUGGGACCGACCUGAUGAUCUGAUUGGCAGGGCAGAUGUUGACAAAAUUAUUCAGGAGCCCCCUCAUAAAAAAGGAAUGGAGGAAUUGAAGAAACUAAGGCACCCAACUCCGACAAUGCUGUCGAUCCAAAAGUGGCAAUUCUCUAUGAGUGCAAUUAAAGAGGAACAAGAAUUAAUGGAAGAAAUUAAUGAAGAUGAGCCUGUUAAAGCAAAAAAACGGAAGUAAGUAAUACAUACGAUUUGAUUGAGGUAGAUUAUAUCUUUUAAAAGUCGAUUUGGUAAUAAUUUGUGAUUGGAAGGGACAGGUAAUGUGAAUGUUGUUAGGAGGCAUGAUUGCUCUCUUAGGCCUGAUAAUAAAUAGCUUUGUUUUUCAUUGUAGAAAAUGUGUCCCUUCUUUUGCUAGAUUUGUAGAAGAUUUGGGUAUUCAUAUAUGUAUUAUGACUCCAAAUGAUAGUUUUGGAAUUAAUUCUUUUUGGAAAUUUAUUAGGUCUCAAUUUUAUGAAAAGUUAGUUUCCUCCCUCAUUUAGACCCCAAUGGAUACCAUUCCAGAGAUCUCAUAAAAACAGACACAGACUUCUCCCUCUUUAUAUGGUUAUCUUACGACUUACCUAGUCCUUGAGUCUGGUCAUUAACUCCUUGGUGAGGAGAGAACCCAUAAGCUUAGGAAGUGCUCUGCGAGAAAGAGACUGCUAAGAAGUAGAGGCAUUAGCUUGGCCAGUGCUCUAGAGUUGGGUAAAAUGUAAAUGUUAUGGCGGGGGGAAGGAUGGGGUAGAGGGUAUGCAUGUAUGGGGAAUGGGACCAUUAUUUAGCAGCAAAAAGGAAAGUUUGAAGACAUUAACAGGAACUGGUUAAUUGUAGUCCUUAUCUGAAAAGGACAGAUUGAAUGCAGCCAAAUUAUGGCAAAGAAAUCAGUAGGACAACCCCUAUAAAGGGUAGUUCUUUUAAAAAAAAUUUCUUUAUUGGCAACAACAUAAAAGAUAUGAAAGAAUCACUCAUAAUUUAUCAGCGUAACAUAGCUAUUCUCAUUUUUGCAAUUGACUUUUUAGUUCUUGACCAAAUGUAAUUUUUAUUAGUUGUGAUUAACUGAUUUUGUGCUUUUUUUUUAAAAAAAAAAAACCUAGAAUAAGACAUUUGUUUUGUUAAUUAUUAUAAAUGACUGUAUUCAUUCUGUUUAUGUACCAUAAUUUUGGAUGUUCCUACGAUGUUAAACUUUUAGGUUGUUUUUAAUUGUUUGUUCUUAUAGACAACUCUGUAAGGUUUUUAACUGCUUUUAUCAGGAGAAUGUCAAAGAAGUCCUUUAUGUGGAUUGCCCGAGCUUCUCUAUUUAGGUACAAAGCUAAAAGCCUGUUUUUCCUGGCUUAGUUUUUCUUUUAUUUCCUUUAUUGAGAUAGAUAGUGAUAGUUUGUAUUGUGACAUUUUCAUUUAGUAUAGUUCUAUAAAGGUUAUUUGUUUUUAUUAGUUACUUCUUGGAUGUCUUUUAACUCUAACUAUUUAAAUAGUUUUAAAAUUAUUAUUAUAAGAGGGUAUAUUGUUUGGCAAAUUGCUUUUACCUGUUUGUUUUGUGCAUAUCUUAGGUCACAGACUAUCUCGCUAAGUUCCUGCAGGUCACGGACUAUGUCUUCUAUUUCUUUUGAUUCAUUGCCUAAGUUGCUAAGUACCUCUCACUUGCAUUUGUGGGUUAGCCUUAGUUCCAUUUAAAUCUCUGGGGCUACCUACAGUUUCCUGUAUAGCAUGCUUUUGAAUUUCCACAUGUUCUGUUUUCCUAAUUCCCUUAAGUUUGUAUAGGGAAUAAGAGCCAAUUUUUAAAAUAUACUUAGCAGAUCAUAUUUAAGAAGGAAGAUCUGCUAAAAUACACCCAGAUAUUAUUGAAUUACAUACUUUUUUGGAUUAUUUACGUGAAUGGGCCUUUUUCAUAGUGCAUAUAUUUGAGAGGUGCCGUGAUUCCAUGUUUACAAUUUCACUUGAGUACCACACAGAAACAGGGUUGCCCUUACACCUGAGGUGCAUUUUUGGAGGAACAAGAAGUAGUUUAGUCAUUGAUGAACAGUUCUAAUUCCACCUAACUACUCCUGGGCCCAUGUUGCUCUCUGGGACCUGUCCUUCAACUUAAAUCUCAACUUAUCACCCAGAAAGUGAGUAAUAAAAAGUCAGGUAGGUAAGGUAUAUAUCUUACAUAUUCACUUGGCCAAGAUUGCAGAUAUUUUAGUUUUAUUUUUAAAAUGAAUGUUUGAGAUUACUAAAACAUUAUACCACUUAAUACCAAUUUUUAUUAGAUUUUACAAAAUAUUUUAUGUGUUUAUAAUGUAAAACAUUUUGGAAAAUACUGUUUUUUCUAUAUUUCAAGAACUAAAAAAAUUAUAUUUUGUGCUGUUUGAUUCUGACACAUAGAGGUUUACUGCAGUGUUAAACUUUUUUUUUUUUAAGUAAGGUUGCUCCCUUUUUAUGUUAUUAACCAGUGUCAGGGAGAGACAGCCCAUUAAAGGUGUAUUUUUUUCCUAAUAAUGUAGCCAUUGUAAAUCAUUAGAAGCCCAUUUUAAUUUUGUUAUUAUGAAAGUUAUUUAUCCCUUAGAGUUCAUUUGAAACCCUCAAUAUAAUUUGUUUUUGCCAAAAAUAUGCUGCUCAGUAGUGAGUCUUGAAAAUUCCUUUGAUUUUAAGAUUUCUAAUAAGAUCUGAGAAUUAAUAUUUUGUCAGUUGAUGUCUUAUAUUUUAUUUUUUAUAGGAGAGACGAUAAUAAAGACAUUGACUCAGAGAAAGAAGCUGCCAUGGAAGCUGAAAUUAAAGCUGCCCGAGAAAGGGCCAUUGUCCCUCUGGAGGCUCGAAUGAAGCAGUUCAAGGACAUGCUGCUAGAGAGAGGGGUCAGAAAACAAUCUUUGGGGGAGAUAUUUCUGUUUUGUAUAAGUAAUAUAAAUAUGUCUUGCUAAAAGGUCAAAUCUAAGGUUAGUGCUCAUGUUAUGGGGGGGGAUAAGGGGAUUUUUAAAAUUACUGUACAUUUUUUGCAACAGCCUUUUUCUUGGCUAAUCUUAUCAUAUUUAACUAAAUGCCAUUUUACUGUCCUUUUAAGUACAAAUAACACUUAACAUUUAUUGGGUCAUUAAAUUGUGGUGAGUAAUAUAAGACGAGUAUUAACAUUACAGAAUGGCGGACUGCUUGGGAUAGGUAAGGUAUAUAUGAUUAUUCUUCCUUUAAUAUCUUGAGAAUGGCUUUUGUUAAAGGAGAACUGAUACUUUGUGAUAUUAUUAUUUGCAAUUUAAUUGAGAAGGGAUUUCAACUAUUUGGUUAUAUUCACAGAUUCAUUUGAAUAAGUAAAAUUGUUCAAUUUUAAAUCACAACAUUGUUCACAAGAUUGGAGCAAGCAUGAGAAAUCAAAAUAUAAAUCUUCAAGGCUUUUUCUGAUGUACUGAUUUUUAAAAUGUCACACAGUAGUAGUUAUUUUAAUGAGUAAUUAAGUGUCUGUUAUUUCUAUAUAAUAUAGGAAUGUUCAGAGCCAAUUAGUGUGGAAAUUUGCUAUUGCUAGCCUCCCACUGCUUGUCAUUUAUUAGUGAUGGAAACUUCAGUAUGGUUUUAUGUCUCCUUUAUAAACAGAUAUCCUGUAGAUUUCAAGCAAAAUUAUGACCUUUAUAUUUUUAGAGGAGACUUAAUUAUGAGGCAAUACGUUUUUAUUUUAAAGGUGUCUGCUUUUUCAACGUGGGAGAAGGAGUUGCACAAGAUAGUUUUUGAUCCCCGGUACUUACUUCUCAAUCCUAAAGAGAGAAAACAGGUGUUUGAUCAGUAUGUAAAGACCAGGGCAGAGGAAGAACGCAGGGAAAAGAAAAAUAAAAUAAUGCAAGCCAAGGAAGAUUUCAAAAAAAUGAUGGAAGAAGCAAAAUUUAAUCCAAGAGCAACUUUUAGUGAAUUUGCAGCCAAGCAUGCUAAAGAUUCAAGAUUCAAAGCAAUUGAAAAGAUGAAAGACCGAGAAGCCUUGUUUAAUGAGUUUGUGGCCGCUGCUAGGAAGAAAGAGAAAGAAGAUUCGAAGACCAGAGGUGAGAAGAUUAAAUCGGAUUUCUUUGAACUAUUAUCUAAUCAUCACUUGGACAGUCAGUCUCGAUGGAGCAAAGUAAAAGACAAAGUAGAAAGUGAUCCACGUUACAAAGCAGUAGAUAGUUCAUCAAUGAGAGAAGACCUUUUCAAACAGUACAUUGAAAAAAUAGCCAAGAAUUUAGACUCAGAAAAAGAAAAGGAGCUUGAAAGGCAAGCCCGCAUUGAGGCAAGCCUUCGAGAACGAGAAAGGGAGGUUCAAAAGGCCCGUUCAGAACAAACAAAAGAAAUAGAUCGAGAGAGAGAGCAGCACAAACGAGAAGAAGCUAUCCAGAAUUUCAAAGCUCUUCUGUCUGACAUGGUACGUUCUUCAGAUGUGUCAUGGUCUGAUACUCGUAGGACCCUCCGAAAAGAUCACCGCUGGGAAUCUGGAUCCUUAUUGGAAAGAGAGGAGAAAGAGAAGCUUUUUAAUGAACACAUUGAAGCACUUACCAAAAAAAAGAGAGAGCACUUUAGGCAACUUCUGGAUGAAACUUCUGCAGGUUUGCAGGUGAUUGUCUUAGGCCACCUUGAAAGUAUGGCCAUGAAAAUAACUCUUGUGGCAAGCCAACAAAAAGAAAUUGCAUUAACGCUGCUUCCCUGUCCCUAACUAGUCCAGUUACGCUUGGGCAUUACAAGAGAUCGCAGAUUACCUUAACAUCCACGUGGAAAGAAGUAAAAAAAAUCAUUAAGGAAGAUCCUCGAUGUAUUAAGUUCUCCUCCAGUGACAGGAAAAAACAAAGAGAAUUUGAAGAAUAUAUCAGAGACAAAUAUAUCACAGCCAAAGCUGACUUCAGGACGCUUUUGAAAGAGACCAAAUUUAUAACAUAUAGAUCCAAAAAAUUAAUCCAAGAAUCAGAUCAGCACCUGAAAGAUGUAGAAAAAAUUUUACAGAAUGACAAACGGUAUCUAGUACUGGACUGUGUGCCAGAGGAGAGGCGUAAACUGAUUGUGGCAUAUGUUGAUGACCUGGAUCGCCGGGGUCCACCCCCACCUCCCACAGCAUCGGAGCCCACGAGACGAUCAACAAAAUAAUUCUAAAUACUCUUCCAUAGGGGCAUCUAUUCAAAAUGCUUGCAUGAGCCAAUUUUCAGGUUUUUACAUAUAUGUGCAUUAGUCAACCUAUUGCGAAACCAUCUGACAAACAGAAGGAGAAGCAUUUGUGAACAGUUUCUGAACAGAACACUUUGGAAAUAUUUAUGCUUUUCUUUGUGUGGCAUGACUGACAUACAUACUCAAAUAUAGGCUGUCUCUAGUAAAUCUUAAAAUCUUGAAGCUAAAAUUCAUCCUUUUAUGAGGUGUGGAAGUCAGUGACUUGGUGACGUUCUUCCUAGCAGUGUUAAUACAUGCAAGAAGUAAGAGCAUUUGUGGCUUGAACUUGCCAGAUGCAAAUACCACAGACUCCAAGAAAACCCGAGUUGGGGUUUGUUUUGUUUUGAUUUUUUUUUUUUAAAGCGGGUAAAAGAGAAAACACUGAAAAUUGAAUUCUUAUCUUCCAGAGGCUACAAUUAUUAUAAUGGACAAUACUUUUACCUUUGUCUCUAAAGAUCAGAUUAGUUUUAUUUGUUCACUUACGUGCUUUGAUUAUCCCCUCUGAAUUAUAGACCGAGUCUUGUUGUUUAGCCUAAGAGAAGAUUUAUGUAGUAAUUUCUUCUCAGGUAUGGAACCACGGUCAUAACUAACAUGUUGGCCAGAAUAGAACCACUGGUUAAACAUAUUUUAUUCACCAUUAAGUGAUCUUUAUCAAUAUUCUGGAUUAGACAACAAAUUACCUUUCUGGGUGUUUCUUGUAAACUAUACUCCUGUUUGAAUGUUAAACUUUGUUGCUAAAGUUUAAUUUUAAGAUGUUUGAAUGUUCAGUUUAUGUAUUUGAACUACAAUAAACCAACCCUUUUUAUAUAUCUGUAUUGUAUAUGAUUAUUGUUACUUAAUUUUUAAGAGCUUAUUUUAACCUGUUUUUAAAAGCAGCAAAUAGAAUUUCCCACAAAGUAAGUUGACUCUAAAUCUUAAGUAUUACCUAGUUUUUAAAGGUUUGAAUAUAAUAAUGCAGUAUUUGCAGUAUAAAAAGGAAGGAAUUUGUAGAGAAUCAUUUUGGUGCUCAAGUCUCUUAGCAGUGCCUUAUUGCCUCAUAGCAAGAAGAUGCUGGGGUUUUUUUUGUUUUUGUCCUUUGUAUUAAUGUAUGAUGGUUUGCGCCUUUUUGGCAUUCUUUCAACAUGUCGUGUACAUCACACCAUGAAUCAGUUCCUAAUUGAUAUAUCUAGCUUUACCUCCCGAGUUAAAAAAAAAUCUUUUUAUUUUAUGCCUUCAUAGGUUGCUCGUUUCAGAGUGCCACAUAAAUAAAAUGUUUAACAAAA